GAUGAACGCUGGCGGCGUGCCUAAUACAUGCAAGUCGAGCGAACGGACGAGAAGCUUGCUUCUCUGAUGUUAGCGGCGGACGGGUGAGUAACACGUGGAUAACCUACCUAUAAGACUGGGAUAACUUCGGGAAACCGGAGCUAAUACCGGAUAAUAUUUUGAACCGCAUGGUUCAAAAGUGAAAGACGGUCUUGCUGUCACUUAUAGAUGGAUCCGCGCUGCAUUAGCUAGUUGGUAAGGUAACGGCUUACCAAGGCAACGAUGCAUAGCCGACCUGAGAGGGUGAUCGGCCACACUGGAACUGAGACACGGUCCAGACUCCUACGGGAGGCAGCAGUAGGGAAUCUUCCGCAAUGGGCGAAAGCCUGACGGAGCAACGCCGCGUGAGUGAUGAAGGUCUUCGGAUCGUAAAACUCUGUUAUUAGGGAAGAACAUAUGUGUAAGUAACUGUGCACAUCUUGACGGUACCUAAUCAGAAAGCCACGGCUAACUACGUGCCAGCAGCCGCGGUAAUACGUAGGUGGCAAGCGUUAUCCGGAAUUAUUGGGCGUAAAGCGCGCGUAGGCGGUUUUUUAAGUCUGAUGUGAAAGCCCACGGCUCAACCGUGGAGGGUCAUUGGAAACUGGAAAACUUGAGUGCAGAAGAGGAAAGUGGAAUUCCAUGUGUAGCGGUGAAAUGCGCAGAGAUAUGGAGGAACACCAGUGGCGAAGGCGACUUUCUGGUCUGUAACUGACGCUGAUGUGCGAAAGCGUGGGGAUCAAACAGGAUUAGGUACCCUGGUAGUCCACGCCGUAAACGAUGAGUGCUAAGUGUUAGGGGGUUUCCGCCCCUUAGUGCUGCAGCUAACGCAUUAAGCACUCCGCCUGGGGAGUACGACCGCAAGGUUGAAACUCAAAGGAAUUGACGGGGACCCGCACAAGCGGUGGAGCAUGUGGUUUAAUUCGAAGCAACGCGAAGAACCUUACCAAAUCUUGACAUCCUUUGACAACUCUAGAGAUAGAGCCUUCCCCUUCGGGGGACAAGGUGACAGGUGGUGCAUGGUUGUCGUCAGCUCGUGUCGUGAGAUGUUGGGUUAAGUCCCGCAACGAGCGCAACCCUUAAGCUUAGUUGCCAUCAUUAAGUUGGGCACUCUAAGUUGACUGCCGGUGACAAACCGGAGGAAGGUGGGGAUGACGUCAAAUCAUCAUGCCCCUUAUGAUUUGGGCUACACACGUGCUACAAUGGACAAUACAAAGGGCAGCGAAACCGCGAGGUCAAGCAAAUCCCAUAAAGUUGUUCUCAGUUUGGAUUGUAGUCUGCAACUCGACUACAUGAAGCUGGAAUCGCUAGUAAUCGUAGAUCAGCAUGCUACGGUGAAUACGUUCCCGGGUCU
rnacentral:rRNA from 1 species